CGAUGACCCCGUGCUUGCACGGGUGAUUAGUGGCGAACGGGUGAGUAACACGUGAGUAACCUGCCCCCGACUUUGGGAUAAGCCCGGGAAACUGGGUCUAAUACCGGAUAUGACUUCUUACCGCAUGGUGGGUUGUUGAAAGAUUUAUCGGUGGGGGAUGGACUCGCGGCCUAUCAGCUUGUUGGUGAGGUAAUGGCUCACCAAGGCGACGACGGGUAGCCGGCCUGAGAGGGUGACCGGCCACACUGGGACUGAGACACGGCCCAGACUCCUACGGGAGGCAGCAGUGGGGAAUAUUGCACAAUGGGCGAAAGCCUGAUGCAGCGACGCCGCGUGAGGGAUGACGGCCUUCGGGUUGUAAACCUCUUUCAGUAGGGAAGAAGCGAAAGUGACGGUACCUGCAGAAGAAGCGCCGGCUAACUACGUGCCAGCAGCCGCGGUAAUACGUAGGGCGCAAGCGUUAUCCGGAUUUAUUGGGCGUAAAGAGCUCGUAGGCGGUUUGUCGCGUCUGCCGUGAAAGUCCGAGGCUCAACCUCGGAUCUGCGGUGGGUACGGGCAGACUAGAGUGAUGUAGGGGAGACUGGAAUUCCUGGUGUAGCGGUGAAAUGCGCAGAUAUCAGGAGGAACACCGAUGGCGAAGGCAGGUCUCUGGGCAUUUACUGACGCUGAGGAGCGAAAGCAUGGGGAGCGAACAGGAUUAGAUACCCUGGUAGUCCAUGCCGUAAACGUUGGGCACUAGGUGUGGGGGACAUUCCACGUUUUCCGCGCCGUAGCUAACGCAUUAAGUGCCCCGCCUGGGGAGUACGGCCGCAAGGCUAAAACUCAAAGGAAUUGACGGGGGCCCGCACAAGCGGCGGAGCAUGCGGAUUAAUUCGAUGCAACGCGAAGAACCUUACCAAGGCUUGACAUGUGCCAGACCGCCUCAGAGAUGGGGUUUCCCUUCGGGGCUGGUUCACAGGUGGUGCAUGGUUGUCGUCAGCUCGUGUCGUGAGAUGUUGGGUUAAGUCCCGCAACGAGCGCAACCCUCGUUCCAUGUUGCCAGCACGUAGUGGUGGGGACUCAUGGGAGACUGCCGGGGUCAACUCGGAGGAAGGUGGGGAUGACGUCAAAUCAUCAUGCCCCUUAUGUCUUGGGCUUCACGCAUGCUACAAUGGCCGGUACAAUGGGUUGCGAUACUGUGAGGUGGAGCUAAUCCCUAAAAGCCGGUCUCAGUUCGGAUUGGGGUCUGCAACUCGACCCCAUGAAGUCGGAGUCGCUAGUAAUCGCAGAUCAGCAACGCUGCGGUGAAUACGUUCCCGGGCCUUGUACACACCGCCCGUCAAGUCACGAAAGUUGGUAACACCCGAAGCCGAUGGCCUAACC
rnacentral:rRNA from 1 species